AGAGUUUGAUCCUGGCUCAGAAUGAACGCUGGCGGCGUGCUUAACACAUGCAAGUCGUACGAGAACGCCUCAGCUUGCUGAAGCUAGUAAAGUGGCGUACGGGUGAGUAACGCGUGGGUAAUCUACCUUCGAAUUGGGGAUAACGUUGCGAAAGUGACGCUAAUACCGGAUAAUAUCAUAGAGACCUUGGUUUUUAUGAUCAAAGAUGGCCUCUCCUUGGAAGCUAUUGUUUGGAGAUGAGCCCGCGUCCCAUUAGCUUGUUGGUGGGGUAAUGGCCUACCAAGGCAACGAUGGGUAGCUGGUCUGAGAGGAUGAUCAGCCACACUGGAACUGACACACGGUCCAGACUCCUACGGGAGGCAGCAGUGAGGAAUUUUGCGCAAUGGGGGAAACCCUGACGCAGCAACGCCGCGUGAGUGAUGAAGGCUUUCGGGUCGUAAAGCUCUGUCAAGUGGGAAGAGCUCCUGUGAGGUUAAUACCCUCAUGGUUUGACGGUACCACUGAAGGAAGCACCGGCUAACUCCGUGCCAGCAGCCGCGGUAAUACGGGGGGUGCAAGCGUUAUUCGGAUUUACUGGGCGUAAAGCGCGCGUAGGCGGCCGUUUAAGUCAGAUGUGAAAGCCCGGGGCUCAACCCCGGAAGUGCAUUUGAUACUAUUCGGCUUGAGUAUGGGAGAGGGAAGUGGAAUUCCUGGUGUAGAGGUGAAAUUCGUAGAUAUCAGGAGGAACACCGGUGGCGAAGGCGACUUCCUGGACCAAUACUGACGCUGAGGCGCGAAGGCGUGGGUAGCAAACAGGAUUAGAUACCCUGGUAGUCCACGCAGUAAACGGUGAUCACUAGGUGUAGCGGGUAUUGACCCCUGCUGUGCCGCAGCUAACGCAUUAAGUGAUCCGCCUGGGGAGUACGGCCGCAAGGUUAAAACUCAAAGGAAUUGACGGGGGCCCGCACAAGCGGUGGAGCAUGUGGUUUAAUUCGACGCAACGCGAAGAACCUUACCUGGAUUUGACAUCUCGGGAAUUUCUAUGAAAGUAGGAAGUGCCCUUCGGGGAGCCCGAUGACAGGUGCUGCAUGGCUGUCGUCAGCUCGUGUCGUGAGAUGUUGGGUUAAGUCCCGCAACGAGCGCAACCCCUAUCUUUAGUUACCAGCACUUCGGGUGGGGACUCUAAAGAUACUGCCCCGGUCAACGGGGAGGAAGGUGGGGAUGACGUCAAGUCCUCAUGGCCUUUAUGUCCAGGGCUACACACGUGCUACAAUGGGCAGUACAGAGGGUCGCGACACUG
rnacentral:rRNA from 1 species